rnacentral:misc_RNA from 1 species
AGAUGUUGGUGUGAAGUUGGAUCGGCCAGCUGAUGAGACAGUAGCUGAGGCAGAGGCCGAGGUUCCUGGAUCUUAGACUUGUUUCAUCCAUCGAGUUACGUUACCCAAUAUGGUGGUAGUCUUUAGAGCAUCACAUUGUUUAAGUUGAGUUUUGUUGUGACAUCUGAAAAUUUUGCAUCUGGUUCUUUGCCUAUGUUUUAUCCAUACAUUAUCAUAGACCAAGAUAUGGAUUUUCCAGCUGUUUUAUCUAUUACUAAUUUCUUUCCCGUAUGUUGAAUUAUGUCAUUGUGGAACUUGGUAAUUCAU